UGUCUUAAUGAGGACUAGUAUGAACGGCAUCACGAGGGUUAUACUGUCUCCCACCUCCAAUCAGUGAAACUGAUCCCCCCGUGAAGAAGCGGGGAUAAAAUUAUAAGACGAGAAGACCCCAUGGAGCUUUAAACUCAGCACCAACCACCUACAACCACAUCAUCUUAAACAAGUGGCCCUGACUGCUAGUUUUAGGUUGGGGUGACCGCGGAGCAAAACAAAACCUCCACGAUGAACGACCUCCUCUCUAAUCCGAGAGCCACCACUCAAAGAAUCAAAAAAUUGACACACAUUGACCCAAAUUAUUUUGAUCAACGAACCAAGUUACCCUGGGGAUAACAGCGCAAUCCAUUUCAAGAGCUCCUAUCGACAAAUGGGUUUACGACCUCGAUGUUGGAUCAGGGUAUCCCAGUGGUGCAGCCGCUACUAAAGGUUCGUUUGUU
rnacentral:rRNA from 1 species